UACGUAGGGGGCGAGCGUUGUCCGGAUUUAUUGGGCGUAAAGAGCGUGUAGGCGGUUCGGCAAGUCUGUCGUGAAAUCCUGAGGCUCAACCUCGGGCGUGCGAUGGAUACUGCCGGGCUAGAGGGUGGUAGAGGCGAGUGGAAUUCCCGGUGUAGCGGUGAAAUGCGCAGAUAUCGGGAGGAACACCAGUAGCGAAGGCGGCUCGCUGGGCCACACCUGACGCUGAGACGCGAAAGCUAGGGGAGCGAACAGG
rnacentral:rRNA from 1 species